CGGGGUGUAGCUCAGCCAGGUUAGAGCGCGUGGUUUGGGACCACGAGGGCGGCGGUUCAAAUCCGCCCACCCCGACCA
rnacentral:tRNA from 1 species